GACGAACGCUGGCGGCGUGCUUAACACAUGCAAGUCGAACGGAAAGGCCCUGCUUUUGUGGGGUGCUCGAGUGGCGAACGGGUGAGUAACACGUGAGUAACCUGCCCUUGACUUUGGGAUAACUUCAGGAAACUGGGGCUAAUACCGGAUAGGAGCUCCUGCUGCAUGGUGGGGGUUGGAAAGUUUCGGCGGUUGGGGAUGGACUCGCGGCUUAUCAGCUUGUUGGUGGGGUAGUGGCUUACCAAGGCGUUGACGGGUAGCCGGCCUGAGAGGGUGAACGGCCACAUUGGGACUGAGAUACGGCCCAGACUCCUACGGGAGGCAGCAGUGGGGAAUAUUGCACAAUGGGCGGAAGCCUGAUGCAGCAACGCCGCGUGCGGGAUGACGGCCUUCGGGUUGCAAACCGCUUUCGCCUGUGACGAAGCGUGAGUGACGGUAAUGGGUAAAGAAGCACCGGCUAACUACGUG
rnacentral:rRNA from 1 species